UUUGCCCAGUGUGGGGCUUGAACCCACAACCCUGAGAUUAAGAGUCUCAUGCUUUACCAACUGAGCUACCCAGCAGCUAGUGAGGGGACACCUUUGUGGUGAAGGAGAUUCCCUAGACAAUCCUAUCUGAGCCUUGUCUAGAGUGGACACCCCAGGUCUUGGGGAUUGUGAGAGGGGUCUGUGGAUCAGGACGGCCUCUCUCAUGCAGGAGGCAGUAAGUCAGAAAGAAGAUGAGCUUCCAUUACUCCAAAUUGACCCAGGGCUAGACUCACCCAUAAAGACUCAGGCAAUGAGGAUGUAACAAAGCUAGCUCCAUCUCGAUGGAUUCCACACAGCUGUGAGUCUGCUAAGUUAAAAUAAAGGUUUUGGGUCCAAUCUUAAGUCAUUUCUCUUAUUUAUUUUCAAAAAAACAACACACAUUGCAGGACUCGGAAGCCAAAUUGCCAAUAACACCAGGGAAAAGAGCCGUGAAACUCUUCCCAACAAAUAUCACUCCUUGCCAUCGGAAAGGCAGCACAAAUAUUCAAAUAUGCUCCAACUGUUUCUCUCCCUCCAGCAAAGCACACACAGAUGUUGGUAUCCUCUAUGAGGAAGACACAACUGAUCAACCAACUCCAGGCAUAUUGAACGGAAGCUGGAAGCGAUCUUGAAUGCAGAGGGUUGUAGUCAAUUAGCCCUACUCAGAGUAGACCUGUUCACGACGAUCCACGUCUGAGCUCAAUACCUGCCAUUGAAAGUGAAAAAGCAGAUAACGGUGAUAACUGGGAUGAGGAAGAGGGUGCAUAUGGUGAGGAAGAUGAAGAAAUUGAUAGUGAUGAGAAGUAUCGAAUGAAAGAAUGCAUUGUGAAGAAGUUAAAGAAAGAUGCUGAUCUAACAGCUCAAAAACCAACUAAAGAGAAGAAAACAGAGAAGAAAAGUGAGCCACAGUGAGGACCUACAGAAGGAAGUGCGCCAGCUGAAACGUGAACUGUUAGCAGCAAAGCAAAAGAAAGAAGAAAAUGCCUCCAAACUAGAGGAGAAUAAAAUUGAAGAUGACAAAGCUGCUCCAAACAGCAUUGUUGCAGAAUAUCUGGAAGAAGAAAAGAAAUAUGAACAACUGAAACAGCACAGCCAAAGAAAGGACUUUCACAUGAAGUUCAGAUGCUGGCAUUGCUGGACAGAUUCAAAUCUACUGAAAUGAAUUGGCAUGACUAGCUUAUACCCAUUUAUUCCAAUAGGCUUCCUGUAAGUAGGAGUUGGCUACAAUCCAUAUUAUUUAUGCAUUAUUGCAGAGUAUUAUUAAAUUUGCUUACUUAUUCCAAA